UACGAAGGGGGCUAGCGUUACUCGGAAUUAUUGGGCGUAAAGCGUGCGUAGGCGGCUAAAUAAGUUGAGAGUGAAAGCCCAGGGCUUAACCUUGGAAUUGCUUUCAAAACUGUUUGGCUAGAGUAUUGGAGAGGAUAGUAGAAUUCCUAGUGUAGAGGUGAAAUUCGUAGAUAUUAGGAGGAAUACCGGAGGCGAAGGCGACUAUCUGGCCAAUUACUGACGCUGUUGCACGAAAGCGUGGGGAGCAAACAGG
rnacentral:rRNA from 1 species